AGCAGCCGCGGUAAUUCCAGCUCCAAUAGCGUAUAUUAAAGUUGUUGCAGUUAAAAAGCUCGUAGUUGAAUUUCGGGAUCAAUUAAUCGGUCGUGCCUCUGGUACGUACUGGUUUUAUUGGUUCCUCCCUUCUGACGAAACAUGAUGUCAUUAAUUUGGUGUCGUGGAGAAUCAGGACUGUUACUUUGAAAAAAUUAGAGUGUUUAAAGCAAGCUAACGCUUGAAUACAUUAGCAUGGAAUAAUGAAAUGGGACGUUCGAUCCUAUUUUGUUGGUUUCUAGGAUUGACGUAAUGAUUAAUAGGGAUAGUUGGGGGCAUUAGUAUUCAAUUGUCAGAGGUGAAAUUCUUGGAUUUAUUGAAGACUAACUACUGCGAAAGCAUUUGCCAAGGAUGUUUUCAUUAAUCAAGAACGAAAGUUAGGGGAUCGAAGACGAUCAGAUACCGUCGUAGUCUUAACCAUAAACUAUGCCGACUAGGGAUCGGAUGAUGUUAAUUUUUUAACGACUCAUUCGGCGCCUUA
rnacentral:rRNA from 1 species